rnacentral:rRNA from 1 species
CCUACGGGCGGCAGCAGUGAGGAAUAUUGGUCAAUGGACGCAAGUCUGAACCAGCCAUGCCGCGUGCAGGAUGACGGCUCUAUGAGUUGUAAACCGCUUUUGUACGAGGGUAAACCCCGAUACGUGUCUCCGGUUGCAAGUAUCGUACGAAUAAGGAUCGGCUAACUCCGUGCCAGCAGCCGCGGUAAUACGGAGGAUCCGAGCGUUAUCCGGAUUUAUUGGGUUUAAAGGGUGCGUAGGCGGUUGGAUAAGUUAGAGGUGAAAAGGCGGGGCGCAACCCCGAGACUGCCGCUAAUACUGUUGGACUAGAGAAUAGUAGAGGUAGGCGGAAUGUAUGGUGUAGCGGUGAAAUGCUUAGAGAUCAUACAGAACACCGAUUGCGAAGGCAGCUUACCAAACUAUAUCUGACGUUGAGGCACGAAAGCGUGGGUAGCAAACAGGAUUAGAUACCCCAGUAGUG